AUGGGAACACACGGGAACACACGGACACAUGGGAACACACGGACACAGGGGAACACACGGGAACACAGAGGAACACACGGGGACACACGGGAACACAGGGGAACACAGGGACACACGGGAACACACAGGAACACAGGGGAACACAGGGACACACGGGAACACACGGACACACGAGAACACGGGAACACACGGACACACGGGAACACAGGGACACACGGGAACACACGGGAACACACGGACACACGGGAACACACGGGAACACACGGGAACACAGGGACACACGGGAACACACGGACACACGGGAACACACGGAAACACACGGACACACGGGAACACACGGACACACGGGAACACACGGCAACAUACAGGAACACACGGACACGGCAACACACGGAAACACACGGACACACGGGAACACACGGACACACGGCAACACACGGGAACACAAGGAAACACGGGAACACACGGGAACACACGGACACACGGGGACACACGGGAACACACGGACACACGGGAACACACAGGAACACACAGACACACGGGAACACACGGACACACACGGACACACGGGAACACACGGACACACGGGAACACACGGGAACACACGGACACACGGGAACACACGGCAACACACGGCAACACACGUCAACACAUGGCAACACACGGCAACACACGGGGACACACGGGAACACAUGGACACCGGGGAACACACGGGAACACAGAGGAACACGCGGGGACACACGGGAACACACGGCAACACACAGGGACACACGGCAACACACGUACACAUGGCAACACACGGCAACACACAGGGAGACACGGGAACACACGGGAACACGGCAACACAUGGGAACACACGGUGACACACGGGAACACACGGACACACAGGGGAACACACGGACACACACGAGAACACAGGGAAACAGGGGGACACACAGGAACACACGGGAACACAUGGACACACGGGAACACAGGGGAACACACGGACACACACGGGAACACAGGGAAACACACGGACACAGACGGGAACACACGGGAACACAGGGAAACACGGGGACACACGGGAACACUCGAGAUCACAGGGGAACACACGGGAACACACGGACACACGGGAACAUACGGCGACACACGGGGACACACAGCAACACACGGCAACACAUGGCAACACACGGGAACACACGGCAACACAUGGCAACCCACGGGAACACACGUGAACACACUGGGAGACACGGGAAUACACGGACACACGGGAACACACGGCAACACGGCAAGACAUGGGAAUACACGGUGACACACGGUGACACACGGACACACACGGACACACAGGGGAACACACGGACACACACGGGAACACGGGGACACACGGGAACACACGAACACACGGGAACACACGGACACACGAGAACACACGGCAACACACGGCAACACAUGGCAACACACGGCAACACAGGGGAACACAGGGGAACACACGGGGACACAUGGGAACACAGGGGAACACACGGACACACGGGAACACACGGACACACGGGAACAGAGGGGGACACACGGGAACACAGGGGAACACACGGACACACGGGAACACACGGCAACACACGGGAACACACGGGAACACACGGACACACGGGAACACACGGACACACACGGGAACACACGGACACACACAGGAACACAGGGAAACACGGGGACACACGGGAACACACGGACACACGGGAACACACGGGGACACACGGUGACACACGGCAACACACGGACACACAGGGGAACACACAGACACACACGAGAACACAGGGAAACACGGGGACACACGGGAACACACAGACACACGGGGACACAAGGACACACAGGGGAACACACGGACACACACGGGAACACAGGGGAACACACGGCAACACACGGCAACACACGGGGACACACGGCAACACACAGCAACACACGGGAACACAUGGACACACGGGAACACACGGCAACACACGGGAACACAUGGCAAUACGGCAACACAUGGGAACACACGGGGACACACAGUGACACACGGUGACACACGGGAACACACGGACACACACAGACACAUAGGGGAACACACGGGAACACGGUGACACACGGGAACACACGGACACACUGGACUCACGGACACACAGGGGAACACACGGGGACACACGGGAACACACGGGAACACAUGGGAACUCAGGGAAACACGGGGACACACGGGAACACACGGACACACGGGAACACACGGGAACACAUGGGAACACACGGGAACACACGGACACACGGGAACACACGGCAACAUAUGGCGACACACGGGGACACACGGACACACGGGAAGACACAGCAACACACGGGAACACACGGCAACACGGCAACACAUGGGAACACACGGGGACACACAGUGACACACGGGAACACACGGCAACACACGGACACACAGGGGAACACACGGACACACACGGGAACACAGGGAAACACGGGAACACACGGACACACGGGGACACACGGACACGCAGGGGAACACAUGGACACACAUGGGAACACAGACACACAUGGAGACACAGGGGAACACAAGGGAACACAAGGACACGGGAGCACACGGCAACACACGGCGACACACGGGGACACACGGCAACACACACGACACACGGGAACACACGGACACACGGGAACACACGGCAACACACGGCAACCCACGGGGACACACGGGAACACACGGACACACGGGAACACAUGGCAACACGGCAACAUACGGACACACGGGAACACAGGGGAACACACGGGAACACAGGAGGACACACGGGAACACACGGACACAUGGGAACACACGGACACAGGGGAACACACGGGAACACACGGGGACACACGGCAACACACAGGGACACACAGGAACACACGUACACACGGGAACACACGGCAACACACGGCAACACACGGCAACACACAGGGAGACACGGGAACACACGGACACACGGGAACACACGGCAACACACGGGAACACACGGGAACACGGCAACACAUGGGAAAACACGGGGACACA
rnacentral:lncRNA from 1 species